rnacentral:rRNA from 1 species
UAGGGAAUAUUGGACAAUGGGUGCGAGCCUGAUCCAGCCAUGCCGCGUGCAGGAAGAAAGCCUUCUGGGUUGUAAACUGCUUUUCUCUGGGAUAAAAGGCCCAUGCGUGGGACAUUGAAGGUACCAGAGGAAUAAGCCACGGCUAACUACGUGCCAGCAGCCGCGGUAAUACGUAGGUGGCAAGCGUUGUCCGGAUUUAUUGGGUUUAAAGGGUGCGUAGGCGGUCCAGUAAGUCAGUGGUGAAAUACGGCAGCUCAACUGUCGAGGUGCCAUUGAUACUGUUGGACUUGAGUACUGAUGAGGUAGGCGGAAUGGACGGUGUAGCGGUGAAAUGCUUAGAGAUCGUCCAGAACACCGAUAGCGAAGGCAGCUUACUAAGGAGUAACUGACGCUGAGGCACGAAAGUGUGGGGAUCAAACAGGAUUAGAUACCCUGGUAGUCCACACUGUAAACGAUGAUUACUCGAUGUGUGCGAUACACGGCACGCGUCUUAGCAAAAGCGAUAAGUAAUCCACCUGGGGAGUACGCCGGCAACGGUG